rnacentral:rRNA from 1 species
AACGAACGCUGGCGGCAUGCCUAACACAUGCAAGUCGAACGAGACCUUCGGGUCUAGUGGCGCACGGGUGCGUAACGCGUGGGAACCUGCCCUUAGGUUCGGAAUAACUCACCGAAAGGGGUGCUAAUACCGGAUAAUGUCUUCGGACCAAAGAUUUAUCGCCUUUGGAUGGGCCCGCGUUGGAUUAGCUAGUUGGUAGGGUAAAAGCCUACCAAGGCGACGAUCCAUAGCUGGUCUGAGAGGAUGAUCAGCCACACUGGGACUGAGACACGGCCCAGACUCCUACGGGAGGCAGCAGUGGGGAAUAUUGGACAAUGGGCGAAAGCCUGAUCCAGCAAUGCCGCGUGAGUGAUGAAGGCCUUAGGGUUGUAAAGCUCUUUUACCCGGGAUGAUAAUGACAGUACCGGGAGAAUAAGCUCCGGCUAACUCCGUG